ACUAAAAGGGAUAGGAUAGAAAAGUUGGCUUUUUUAAAUCAAAUCGACAACUGAAUAAAUUAAAAAUCGAAUUUUAUUGAAUUUAUUAAAAUUUUUCAUAAGUGUUCCAAUAGUAAAAAUUGUGAUUAAAUUUUAAAUAUUUUUGAUUAUACAAUAAAAAGUUUAAAAUUCAAAAAUUUUGAGGAACAAGCAAAUACGUACAUACAUGUAGAAUAUUGUACCGUUAGAAAAAAAAUUUAGAAGCGUGGUUCCAAAUUAACUGGUUGCUGCAUUUAAAUUGGAACAAUAGAAAUUAAAAGCGUGAAUAAUUGAAAUAAAAAAUAAGGAAAUGUUAAAAUAACUGGAGUUUCAGAGAAGCUUGGUAAAACAAAAUGUACAAUUCAACUAAGAUCUUUAAACCUUAAAUAAGUUGUGUUAUAUGUAAAAUUGCGGUCAAGUUUCCCCAGGAAGAUUUCUAACGGAUCAAUUAAUGGGUGGCUAGAAGAAUAUUUCGACUUACGAGGAUUCACAAGCAGUUCAUUUUGUAAUAAAUUUAAAAAUAUACAAUUAAGAUUUGGAAGUCGAACCUAAUAUUUAUUGGAUAACAAAAUUUUCCAGAAUAAGAAUUAUCAAUUUAAAUGGAAAAUUCUGAAUCGUUUUUUUUAUUUUGUUGCUGUUUUCCUUACGAAAUGGUAAUUAUAAAUUGGAAUUGCAGAAAAAGUAUAAAACAAUUUGAAAUUGGUUUUAAAAUAUACAAACUCAUACUUGCAAACACUGCAUGUUUUCGCACACAACAGAAGUGAAAGUUCUUUUAAGAACGGGUAAAUUAAAUAAAAGAAUAACAAAAAAAAAUAA